UACGUAGGGUGCGAGCGUUGUCCGGAUUUAUUGGGCGUAAAGGGCUCGUAGGCGGUUCGUCGCGUCGGCUGUGAAAUCCCGAGGCUCAACCUCGGGUCUGCAGUCGAUACGGGCGGACUGGAGUUCGGCAGGGGAGACUGGAAUUCCUGGUGUAGCGGUGAAAUGCGCAGAUAUCAGGAGGAACACCGGUGGCGAAGGCGGGUCUCUGGGCCGAUACUGACGCUGAGGAGCGAAAGCGUGGGGAGCGAACAGG
rnacentral:rRNA from 1 species